AUUGAACGCUGGCGGCAUGCCUAACACAUGCAAGUCGAGCGGAUGAAGGGAGCUUGCUCCUGGAUUCAGCGGCGGACGGGUGAGUAAUGCCUAGGAAUCUGCCUGGUAGUGGGGGAUAACGUCCGGAAACGGGCGCUAAUACCGCAUACGUCCUGAGGGAGAAAGUGGGGGAUCUUCGGACCUCACGCUAUCAGAUGAGCCUAGGUCGGAUUAGCUAGUUGGUAGGGUAAAGGCCUACCAAGGCGACGAUCCGUAACUGGUCUGAGAGGAUGAUCAGCCACACUGGAACUGAGACACGGUCCAGACUCCUACGGGAGGCAGCAGUGGGGAAUAUUGGACAAUGGGCGAAAGCCUGAUCCAGCAAUGCCGCGUGAGUGAAGAAGGUCUUCGGAUCGUAAAGCACUUUAAGUUGGGAGGAAGGGAAGUAAGUGAAUACCUUGAUGUUUUGACGUUACCAACAGAAUAAGCACCGGCUAACUUCGUG
rnacentral:rRNA from 1 species